rnacentral:rRNA from 1 species
GACGAACGCUGGCGGCGUGCUUAACACAUGCAAGUCGAACGGACAGGCCCUGCUUUUGUGGGGUGCUCGAGUGGCGAACGGGUGAGUAACACGUGAGUAACCUGCCCUUGACUUUGGGAUAACUUCAGGAAACUGGGGCUCAUACCGGAUAGGAGCUCCUGCUGCAUGUUGGGGGUUGGAAAGUUUCGGCGGUUGGGGAUGGACUCGCGGCUUAUCAGCUUGUUUGUCGAGUAGUGGCUUACGAAGGCUUUGACGGGUAGCCGGCCUGAGAGGGUGACCGGCCACAAGGGGACUGAGAGACGGACCAGAAUCGUACGGGAGGCAGCAGUGGGGAAUAUUGCACAAUGGGCGGAAGCCUGAUGCAGAAACGCCGCGUGCGGGAUGAUGUGCUUCGGGUUGUAAACAGAUGUCGACGGUGACGAAGAGUGAGUGACGGUAAUGGGUAAAGAAGCAACGGCUAACUACGUG